GAUGAACGCUGGCGGCGUGCCUAAUACAUGCAAGUCGAGCGAAUGGAUUAAGAGCUUGCUCUUAUGAAGUUAGCGGCGGACGGGUGAGUAACACGUGGGUAACCUGCCCAUAAGACUGGGAUAACUCCGGGAAACCGGGGCUAAUACCGGAUAACAUUUUGAACCGCAUGGUUCGAAAUCGAAAGGCGGCUUCGGCUGUCACUUAUGGAUGGACCCGCGUCGCAUUAGCUAGUUGGUGAGGUAACGGCUCACCAAGGCAACGAUGCGUAGCCGACCUGAGAGGGUGAUCGGCCACACUGGGACUGAGACACGGCCCAGACUCCUACGGGAGGCAGCAGUAGGGAAUCUUCCGCAAUGGACGAAAGUCUGACGGAGCAACGCCGCGUGAGUGAUGAAGGCUUUCGGGUCGUAAAACUCUGUUGUUAGGGAAGGACAAGUGCUAGUUGAAUAAGCUGGCACCUUGACGGUACCUACCAGAAAGCCACGGCUAACUACGUGCCAGCCGCCGCAGUAA
rnacentral:rRNA from 1 species